rnacentral:rRNA from 1 species
CCGGCGCACGGGUGAGUAACACGUAUCCAACCUGCCGUCUACUCUUGGACAGCCUUCUGAAAGGAAGAUUAAUACAAGAUGGCAUCAUGAGUUCACAUGUUCACAUGAUUAAAGGUAUUCCGGUAGACGAUGGGGAUGCGUUCCAUUAGAUAGUAGGCGGGGUAACGGCCCACCUAGUCUUCGACGGAUAGGGGUUCUGAGAGGAAGGUCCCCCACAUUGGAACUGAGACACGGUCCAA